rnacentral:tRNA from 1 species
GCCUGAGUGGCGGAACUGGCAGACGCACACGACUCAAAAUCGUGCGGGAAACCAUGUGGGUUCGAGUCCCACCUUAGGCACCA